rnacentral:rRNA from 1 species
CCAGACUCCUACGGGAGGCAGCAGUGGGGAAUAUUGCACAAUGGGGGGAACCCUGAUGCAGCGACGCCGCGUGAGUGAAGAAGUAUUUCGGUAUGUAAAGCCCUGUCAGCAGGGAAGAAAAUGACGGUACCUGAAGAAGAAGCCCCGGCUAACUACGUGCCAGCAGCCGCGGUAAUACGUAGGGGGCAAGCGUUAUCCGGAUUUACUGGGUGUAAAGGGGGCGCAGACGGCGAUGCAAGCCAGGAGUGAAAGCCCGAGGCCCAACCCCGGGACUGCUCUUGGAACUGCGUGGCUGGAGUGCAGGAGGGGCAGGCGGAAUUCCUGGUGUAGCGGUGAAAUGCGUAGAUAUCAGGAGGAACACCGGUGGCGAAGGCGGCCUGCUGGACUGCAACUGACGUUGAGGCCCGAAAGCGUGGGGAGCAAACAGGAUUAGAUACCCGUGUAUA